UACGAAGGGGGCUAGCGUUGCUCGGAAUCACUGGGCGUAAAGCGCACGUAGGCGGACUCUUAAGUCAGGGGUGAAAUCCUGGAGCUCAACUCCAGAACUGCCUUUGAUACUGAAGAUCUUGAGUUCGGGAGAGGUGAGUGGAACUGCGAGUGUAGAGGUAAAAUUCGUAGAUAUUCGCAAGAACACCAGUGGCGAAGGCGGCUCACUGGCCCGAUACUGACGCUGAGGCACGAAAGCGUGGGGAGCAAACAGG
rnacentral:rRNA from 1 species